rnacentral:rRNA from 1 species
ACGGGUGAGUAACACGUAGGCAACCUGCCCUCAAGCUUGGGACAACUACCGGAAACGGUAGCUAAUACCGAAUACUUGUUUUCUUCGCCUGAAGAGAACUGGAAAGACGGAGUAAUCUGUCACUUGAGGAUGGGCCUGCGGCGCAUUAGCUAGUUGGUGAGGUAACGGCUCACCAAGGCGACGAUGCGUAGCCGACCUGAGAGGGUGAUCGGCCACACUGGGACUGAGACACGGCCCAGACUCCUACGGGAGGCAGCAGUAGGGAAUCUUCCGCAAUGGGCGAAAGCCUGACGGAGCAAUGCCGCGUGAGUGAUGAAGGUUUUCGGAUCGUAAAGCUCUGUUGCCAGGGAAGAACGCUUAGGAGAGUAACUGCUCCUGAGGUGACGGUACCUGAGAAGAAAGCCCCGGCUAACUACGUGCCAGCAGCCGCGGUAAUACGUAGGGGGCAAGCGUUGUCCGGAAUUAUUGGGCGUAAAGCGCGCGCAGGCGGUCAUUUAAGUCUGGUGUUUAAUCCCGGGGCUCAACCCCGGAUCGCACUGGAAACUGGGUGACUUGAGUGCAGAAGAGGAGAGUGGAAUUC